UUCCCGCCCGAGGGCCCCGCGCUGGGGUCAGAGAGGCGCGCGACUCCCACCCCUGAUCCCGAAAACCGCCGUUGGUCCCCGCGCCGGAGAACUGCCACUCCCGCCCCUAUCCGUGUUGGGUCUGGCAGCUCGGAGGCGUGCAUGGCUCCCGGGACCGUGCCCGGGUUCGGGGGGCCAAGGCUGGGAGCAGACUCAGUCCCAGGAACCGUAUCCUUGAGGUCUUCUUUCCUCUCCUCUGGGCCUUGAGUGGCACUUUCUCAUGUUUCUGCGGCCUUUCCCUUGCUCGCGACCCUGUGUCCUCUAUGGUUCCUGCAGGCAGGUCUGACUCUCCGAUGCCACCUGCCGCUCACAUCUGCAGAAACAGCCUCACCGCGAGCAGACACAAGGCAGGAGCUGCAGUGUUGGAAGUUCUCCAGUUUAAAGGCGGCUGCAGAAGUCGGGCCUGGGCUCUGCCUAGGAGCGAAAGGCCAAGGCCUGAGGCCUUGUGCCACAGCCAUGCAGAAGGCCAGGAACAUGCAUUUUCCUCCCCCUUGUCUCUCCUGCUCCUCCAACACCAGAUUCUCUUGAGUAAAAAUAUUAAAGUGGUCCUGAGAAACUUGGACAGAAAUUUGCACAAA